GACGAACGCUGGCGGCGUGCUUAACGCAUGCAAGUCGAACGGAAAGGCCCUGCUUUUGUGGGGUGCUCGAGUGGCAAACGGGUGAGUAACACGUGAGUAACCUGCCCUUGACUUUGGGAUAACUUCAGGAAACUGGGGCUAAUACCGGAUAGGAGCUCCUGCUGCAUGGUGGGGGUUGGAAAGUUUCGGCGGUUGGGGAUGGACUCGCGGCUUAUCAGCUUGUUGGUGGGGUAGUGGCUUACCAAGGCUUUGACGGGUAGCCGGCCUGAGAGGGUGACCGGCCACAUUGGGACUGAGAUACGGCCCAGACUCCUACGGGAGGCAGCAGUGGGGAAUAUUGCACAAUGGGCGGAAGCCUGAUGCAGCAACGCCGCGUGCGGGAUGACGGCCUUCGGGUUGUAAACCGCUUUCGCCUGUGACGAAGCGUGAGUGACGGUAAUGGGUAAAGAAGCGCCGGCUAACUACGUGCCAGCAGCCGCGGUGAUACGUAGGGUGCGAGCGUUGUCCGGAUUUAUUGGGCGUAAAGGGCUCGUAGGUGGUUGAUCGCGUCGGAAGUGUAAUCUUGGGGCUUAACCCUGAGCGUGCUUUCGAUACGGGUUGACUUGAGGAAGGUAGGGGAGAAUGGAAUUCCUGGUGGAGCGGUGGAAUGCGCAGAUAUCAGGAGGAACACCAGUGGCGAAGGCGGUUCUCUGGGCCUUUCCUGACGCUGAGGAGCGAAAGCGUGGGGAGCGAACAGGCUUAGAUACCCUGGUAGUCCACGCUGUAAACGGUGGGUACUAGGUGUGGGGUCCAUUCCACGGGUUCCGUGCCGUAGCUAACGCUUUAAGUACCCCGCCUGGGGAGUACGGCCGCAAGGCUAAAACUCAAAGGAAUUGACGGGGCCCCGCACAAGCGGCGGAGCAUGCGGAUUAAUUCGAUGCAACGCGUAGAACCUUACCUGGGUUUGACAUGGAUCGGGAGUGCUCAGAGAUGGGUGUGCCUCUUUUGGGGUCGGUUCACAGGUGGUGCAUGGCUGUCGUCAGCUCGUGUCGUGAGAUGUUGGGUUAAGUCCCGCAACGAGCGCAACCCUUGUUCACUGUUGCCAGCACGUUAUGGUGGGGACUCAGUGGAGACCGCCGGGGUCAACUCGGAGGAAGGUGGGGAUGACGUCAAGUCAUCAUGCCCCUUAUGUCCAGGGCUUCACGCAUGCUACAAUGGCUGGUACAGAGAGUGGCGAGCCUGUGAGGGUGAGCGAAUCUCGGAAAGCCGGUCUCAGUUCGGAUUGGGGUCUGCAACUCGACCUCAUGAAGUCGGAGUCGCUAGUAAUCGCAGAUCAGCAACGCUGCGGUGAAUACGUUCCCGGGGCU
rnacentral:rRNA from 1 species